rnacentral:lncRNA from 1 species
UCUGGUAGUACCGGGUCUGGAGUACAGAGUGGUGGUAGUACCUGUGGUCUGUAGUACAUGGUGGUCUGGUAGUACCUGGUGGUCUGGUAGUCCAGAGUGGUCUGCGGUAUACCUGGUGGUUGUUAGACCUGGGUCUGGUAGUACGAGGUGGUCUGGUAGUACCUGGUGGUCUGGUAGUACAGAGUGGUCUGCUAGUACAGAGUGGUGGUAGUCGAGGUCUGUGUAGAGGGUCUGGUAGUAACGAGUGGUCUGGUAGUACAGAGUGGUCUGGUCGUACAGAGUGGUCUGCUAGUACAGAGUGGUCUGGUUAG